AGCAGCCGCGGUAAUUCCAGCUCCAAUAGCGUAUAUUAAAGUUGUUGCAGUUAAAAAGCUCGUAGUUGAAUUUCGGGAUCGAUAUGUCGGUCGUGCCUUGGUACGUACUGGUAUCAUUGGUCUCUCCUUUCUGACGAACCAUGAUGUCAUUAAUUUGGUGUUAUGGGAAGUUAGGACUGUUACUUUGAAAAAUUGAGUGUUUAAAGCAGGCUUUAGCUUGAAUACAUUAGCAUGGAAUAAUGAAAUAGGACGUUCGAACCUAUUUUGUUGGUUUCUAGGAUCAACGUAAUGAUUAAUAGGGAUAGUUGGGGGCAUUAGUAUUCAAUUGUCAGAGGUGAAAUUCUUAGGAUUUAUUGAAGACUAACUACUGCGAAAGCAUUUGCCAAGGAUG
rnacentral:rRNA from 1 species